UCCCUUUGCCUCCCGAGUGGGAUUAAAGGCGUGCACCACCAUCGCCCGACCCAAGGUGAAUCAUUUAUGCUCCGGACAAUUUAUUAAAAAUACUCAUAGAUUUUGCCGCCAGAUUCGGAUUCACUACUUCAUAAGUGGAGCCCAAUAGCCUGCAGCUACACUGUGCUGAAGCAUGGUACUGAGUGCAACAAUUUCAGACUGAGUCUUCUUGCCACGCCAGGCAUUGAGUGUUCUACUUCCCGUGGCCAAAGGCCAGAAGAUUCUAUUCAUUACUCAAAAGAUUUAAGGACAACACAGGUCCUAAUGAUAAAACGGAUCAUUUAAGGACUUGUAUGAAUUUGCACAGACGUGGAAUAUAUCCAGUAUGUAAGACAAGUUCAAACUUGAUGUGUUUCCACAUUCUUCUCAGCACUUCUGGCAAUCAAUGAAAUCAGAAAAGAAUCUCUUCAAUGAGAUAGGAGAGACUGAGUAAUUAUGGUAGAGCCAGACAAGACUGUUGGGUUCCAGCCUCCCGACUCAGGACUGCACAGGGCCAUGUGCUUCACCUUUUCAGACACAGUACCCGUAAUCUCUGAUAGUUCUACACUCUGUCAUCUCUGAGACAGGUAAUACAUAUGGCUGAACAGAGGCUUACAGACUCUUCCACCACCUCUCUCAUAAAUCGAAGUACCAACCAACUCUGAUUGGCUUUCCAGGUGGUAGAUGGUAUUCCUGAGCAUCAUCAGACCUCUCUGUCUGGGGUACACAAACAUAAGAAAGUUACCCCUCCAAUCCUACUGCAUUAUUGUACCAUCAAACAACCACUCUCCAUCCCCACCUCCUGCACAUUCUUCCCAGGCUCUGACAUGUCUCAUGCAGCCCAGGCCUACCUCUAACUCUUGCUACGUGCAAAGAUGUGACCUUUAUUCCUGAUCCUUCUACUUCCACCUUCCAAGUGCUAGGGUUUCAGGUGGCAAGCAGUAUAAAGAACAUGGAAUAUCCUGCACCCUCCUGGAAAGCAACAAGUUCCUAGCAUGGUGUUCAAUGCCAUACCUUCCCACCUGGUGCCCUUUGUGUUCUGCUCGCUGAGGGUGGAGAACCUGGGAAGUUCUGUGGAUGUUUUUCCCAUGUGCCUCUUGAAAGGCUAGAUUAUACUCAUCUCUGCCUUCUCAGUGAUAAAUUCAAUACGUGUUCACAACAAACACUGCAUGAAUGUUUUUUUGGGUGAAUGAAGGCUGGAUGGAGGACAGAGUUUAUCUUGCUAACCCUUGCUAAUACAAGAGCGCUUCCAGUACAAUGCUUCAGCAGUCAGCAUUCAAGAGAAGCCUUGAUUACCAAAGCCUACUAAGUCAAAACAAUCUGGUUUUCUAGUAUACAAAAAACUAA